rnacentral:rRNA from 1 species
CUAAUACAUGCAAGUCGAGCGAAUGGAUUAAGAGCUUGCUCUUAUGAAGUUAGCGGCGGACGGGUGAGUAACACGUGGGUAACCUGCCCAUAAGACUGGGAUAACUCCGGGAAACCGGGGCUAAUACCGGAUAACAUUUUGAACCGCAUGGUUCGAAAUUGAAAGGCGGCUUCGGCUGUCACUUAUGGAUGGACCCGCGUCGCAUUAGCUAGUUGGUGAGGUAACGGCUCACCAAGGCAACGAUGCGUAGCCGACCUGAGAGGGUGAUCGGCCACACUGGGACUGAGACACGGCCCAGACUCCUACGGGAGGCAGCAGUAGGGAAUCUUCCGCAAUGGACGAAAGUCUGACGGAGCAACGCCGCGUGAGUGAUGAAGGCUUUCGGGUCGUAAAACUCUGUUGUUAGGGAAGAACAAGUGCUAGUUGAAUAAGCUGGCACCUUGACGGUACCUAACCAGAAAGCCACGGCUAACUACGUGCCAGCAGCCGCGGUAAUACGUAGGUGGCAAGCGUUAUCCGGAAUUAUUGGGCGUAAAGCGCGCGCAGGUGGUUUCUUAAGUCUGAUGUGAAAGCCCACGGCUCAACCGUGGAGGGUCAUUGGAAACUGGGAGACUUGAGUGCAGAAGAGGAAAGUGGAAUUCCAUGUGUAGCGGUGAAAUGCGUAGAGAUAUGGAGGAACACCAGUGGCGAAGGCGACUUUCUGGUCUGUAACUGACACUGAGGCGCGAAAGCGUGGGGAGCAAACAGGAUUAGAU